rnacentral:pre_miRNA from 1 species
CACUUACUACCUCCGUUCGGAAUUACUUGUCUCGGAAAUGGAUGUAUCUAGAAUUAAAAUACAUCUAAAUACAUCCAUUUCUGCGACAACUAAUUCCGAACGGAGGGAGUACAUG